AGGGCACCCCCAGGAGUGGAGCCUGCGGCUUAAUUUGACUCAACACGGGAAAUCUCACCCGGCCCGGACACAGUGAGGAUUGACAGAUUGAGAGCUCUUUCUUGAUUCUGUGGGUGGUUGCUACAUAAGCAACUAGUUACUUACCAUUAGGGUCGGAUUGCGAGCAAUAUCAAAUCGAGAACAAACGAUCGGAAAUCAUAUUCCAAAUAGAAAUCCGAUUUUACAGGGUUAAGUUUGGGCCGAUUGGUGGUCUCAAUCCUAAGACCGUUUUAAUAUAGUGCGAUAUAUGAAAACGGUUUAGGAUUGAGACCACCAAUCGGCCCAAACUUAACCCUGUAAAAUGGAUUUCUAUUUGGAAUAUGAUUUCCGAUCGUUUGUUCU
rnacentral:ncRNA from 1 species